rnacentral:rRNA from 1 species
CCUACGGGUGGCAGCAGUGGGGAAUAUUGCACAAUGGGGGAAACCCUGAUGCAGCGACGCCGCGUGAGUGAAGAAGUAUUUCGGUAUGUAAAGCUCUAUCAGCAGGGAAGAAGAUGACGGUACCUGAGUAAGAAGCCCCGGCUAACUACGUGCCAGCAGCCGCGGUAAUACGUAGGGGGCAAGCGUUAUCCGGAUUGACUGGGUGUAAAGGGAGCGCAGACGGCAGGUCAAGUCUGGAGUGAAAGCCCGGGGCGCCACCCCGGAACUGCUCUGGAAACUGUGCGGCUAGAGUCCUGGAGGGGCCGGCGGACUUCCUCGUGUAGCGGUGACAUUCGUAGAUAUUAGGCGGAACACCAGUGGCGAAGGCGGCCUGCUGGACUGUACCUGACGUUGAGGCUCGACAGCGUGGGGAGCAAACAGGAUUAGCUACCCCGGUAGUC